CCUACGGGAGGCAGCAGUGAGGAAUAUUGGUCAAUGGGCGAGAGCCUGAACCAGCCAAGUCGCGUGAGGGAGUACUGCCCUAUGGGUUGUAAACCUCUUUUGUCGGGGAGCAAAAGCCGGACGUGUCCGGCUGUGAGAGUACCCGAAGAAAAAGCAUCGGCUAACCCCGUGCCAGCAGCCGCGGUAAUACGGAGGAUGCGGGCGUUAUCCGGAUUUAUUGGGUUUAAAGGGUGCGCAGGCGGAUUUUUAAGUCAGCGGGAAAAUCGUGGGGCUCAACCCCGUCCAGCCGUUGAAACUGGGGAUCUAGAGUGUGCGAGAGGUAUGCGGAAUGCGUGGUGUAGCGGUGAAAUGCAUAGAUAUCACGCAGAACCCCGAUUGCGAAGGCAGCAUACCGGUGCACAACUGACGCUCAGGCACGAAAGCGUGGGUAUCGAACAGGAUUAGAUACCCUGGUAGUA
rnacentral:rRNA from 1 species